ACCGGUAUAGUAUAGUGGUUAGUACUUCUUGUUGUGGUCUCUGAGUCCUGCCCCGAGAGAACCCAUGUCCAAUUCAUGGUGCCGGCA
rnacentral:tRNA from 1 species